rnacentral:misc_RNA from 1 species
UUUCCGUAGGUGAACCUGCGGAAGGAUCAUUCAUAAUAAGUGUUUUAUGGCACUUUUUUAAAUCCAUAUCCACCUUGUGUGCAAUGUCAGGGUUGACUUUUCUCUCGAGAGGAUCAACCCCAAACAUCAACUAUAUCUCAACUCUUUGUCUGAAAAAUAUUAUGAAUAAAACAAUUCAAAAUACAACUUUCAACAACGGAUCUCUUGGCUCUC